rnacentral:lncRNA from 1 species
CAUUCCUCCCCCUUUGCCACUCCCUCUUGUAAAACUUUAUAAAUUGCUGGCUGAAGUUAUUAAAAGCAGAAGCGUUCCAGAAACCUCCCUGGAGUCUGCUUGGCGAUUCCACGCCUUGCCCUCCCCGUCCGAGGCCCUGAACCUUUGCUCCAGGAGCGGGAUUGUGGACAAGAGCAGGAAGGCAAGCAGCAGAACCACUGAGCAAAUCCCCGGCCCUAACAUUCUUUUGAGUCAUCUUCAUAGAGCAUCCUCUUCUCUGACGGGAAUCUGAAUGUUUGAUGCUUUCUCCAAAUUCAGCUCUCUUGGCUGUCUCAGGUGGGGAUGCAGGACAAGGAACGAUCCGCAUAUCGCCGACCGUCCACACCGUCGCAGGACAGGCUGAGCUCAGGAGGGUGAGCACCCGAAAGCCGGUUUCAGGUACGUUAACACGUAUGGGUAAAAUGCGUUAUAAAGGGGCAGGGGAAUGGACUGCUGUGGGCCAAGGAGCCCCAGGCUACUUUACAUGCAAACCUCUUCCUCCUCCCUCCUUCCCAC